AGCGAACGCUGGCGGCAGGCUUAACACAUGCAAGUCGAACGGUCCUUCGGGAUAGUGGCGGACGGGUGAGUAACACGUGGGAACGUACCCUUAGGUUCGGAACAACACAGGGAAACUUGUGCUAAUACCGGAUAAGCCCUUCGGGGGAAAGAUUUAUCGCCUUUGGAGCGGCCCGCGUCUGAUUAGCUUGUUGGUGAGGUAAUGGCUCACCAAGGCUACGAUCAGUAGCUGGUCUGAGAGGAUGGCCAGCCACACUGGGACUGAGACACGGCCCAGACUCCUACGGGAGGCAGCAGUGGGGAAUCUUGCGCAAUGGGCGAAAGCCUGACGCAGCCAUGCCGCGUGGAUGAUGAAGGUCUUAGGAUUGUAAAAUCCUUUCACCGGGGACGAUAAUGACGGUACCCGGAGAAGAAGCCCCGGCUAACUUCGUGCCAGCAGCCGCCGCAGUAA
rnacentral:rRNA from 1 species